AGCAGUAGCCGCGGUAAUACAGAGGGUGCAAGCGUUAAUCGGAUUUACUGGGCGUAAAGGGCGCGUAGGUGGUUAUUUAAGUGAGAUGUGAAAGCCCCGGGCUUAACCUGGGAACUGCAUCUUAUACUGGGUAACUGGAGUGCAGUAGAGGGUAGUGGAAUUUCCGGUGUAGCGGUGAAAUGCGUAGAUAUCGGAAGGAACACCAGUGGCGAAGGCGGCUACCUGGACUGAGACUGACACUGAGGCGCGAGAGCGUGGGGAGCAAACAGGAUUAGAUACCCGCGUAGUCCAUGUCUCUUAUAA
rnacentral:rRNA from 1 species